rnacentral:rRNA from 1 species
AACGCGAAGAACCUUACCCAGGUUGGAAAUGCGGAGGACCGGUACAGAGAUGUACUUUCCCGUAAGGGUCUCCGCACAGGUGCUGCAUGGCUGUCGUCAGCUCGUGCCGUGAGGUGUUGGGUUAAGUCCCGCAACGAGCGCAACCCUUAUCGUUAGUUGCCAACAUAUAAUGGUGGGGACUCUAACGAGACUGCCUAGGUGAACUAGGAGGAAGGUGAGGAUGACGUCAAGUCCGCAUGGCCUUUAUGCCUGGGGCUACACACGUGCUACAAUGGUCGGUACAGAGGGCAGCAAGACCGCGAGGUGGAGCAAAUCCCAAAAAGCCGAUCCCAGUUCGGAUUGUAGUCUGCAACUCGGCUACAUGAAGUUGGAAUUGCUAGUAAUGGCGUGUCAGCAACAACGCCGUGAAUACGUUCCCGGGCCUUGUACACACCGCGAGC